GUAUGAAUGGCAUCACGAAGGUUAAACUGUCUCCUUUUUCUAAUCAGUGAAACUAAUCUUUCCGUGAAGAAGCGGGAAUAAUUUUAUAAGACGAGAAGACCCUAUGGAGCUUUAAACUAUCAGCAACUAUCUUAAUUUUACCACAACAAUAAAACUUAUAUUGAUAGUCUGACUGCUAGUUUUCGGUUGGGGUGACCGCGGAGUAUAACUUAACCUCCACGAUGAAUGGGCCCGCUCCUAAACAAAGAGUUACAAUUCUAUGUAUCAAAAAAUUGACGCUAUUGACCCAAUACUUUGAUCAACGAACCAAGUUACCCUAGGGAUAACAGCGCAAUCCAUCUCAAGAGUUCAUAUCGACAAAUGG
rnacentral:rRNA from 1 species